UACAGAGGUCCCGAGCGUUGUUCGGAUUCACUGGGCGUAAAGGGUGCGUAGGUGGUGAAGUAAGUCGGAUGUGAAAGCUCCGGGCUCAACCCGGAAAUGGCAUUGGAAACUACUUUGCUUGAGGUUUGGAGGGGGGACUGGAAUUCUCGGUGUAGCAGUGAAAUGCGUAGAUAUCGAGAGGAACACCAGUGGCGAAGGCGAGUCCCUGGACAACACCUGACACUGAGGCACGAAAGCCGGGGGAGCAAACAGGAUUAGAAACCCUCGUAGUCC
rnacentral:rRNA from 1 species